rnacentral:rRNA from 1 species
UCGAAACCUGCAAAGCAGACCGCGAACACGUUCAAAACAACCCCCGGUGCCGGGGUGGGAGGGAGACCUCCACCCGCGGCGCCGAAACCCCGCCGGCGCGAGCCGUGCGGGCAACCUAACUCGGGCGCGGAAUGCGCCAAGGAAAACACAACGGAGCGCCCCGCUCCCCGCUGCGCCCCGUCCGCGGGGCRCCGGGGAGAGAGGGACGACCUGUAGAAAGUCUAAACGACUCUCGGCAACGGAUAUCUCGGCUCUCGCAUCGAUGAAGAACGUAGCGAAAUGCGAUACUUGGUGUGAAUUGCAGAAUCCCGUGAACCAUCGAGUCUUUGAACGCAAGUUGCGCCCGAAGCCAUUAGGCCGAGGGCACGUCUGCCUGGGCGUCACGCAUCGCGUCGCCCCCCUCCCCCCACUCGGGGCGRCCGGGGGCGGACACUGGCCCCCCGUGCGCAGCGAUGCGCGCGGCCGGCCCAAAUGCGAAUCCCCCGUCGACGCACGUCGCGACCAGUGGUGGUUGAACCCUCAACUCGCGUGCUGUCGCGCCACGACGCGUCGCCGGUGCGGAGACGAAAUUGAAACCCAACGGCGCUGGCACUCGCGUGCCGCUGCGCCAACGACCGCGACCCCAGGUCAGGC